rnacentral:rRNA from 1 species
UUCCGUAGGGUAACCUGCGGAGGGAUCAUUACACAAAUAUGAAGGCGGGCUGGAACCUCUCGGGGUUACAGCCUUGCUGAAUUAUUCACCCUUGUCUUUUGCGUACUUCUUGUUUCCUUGGUGGGUUCGCCCACCACUAGGACAAACAUAAACCUUUUGUAAUUGCAAUCAGCGUCAGUAACAAAUUAAUAAUUACAACUUUCAACAACGGAUCUCUUGGUUCUGGCAUCGAUGAAGAACGCAGCGAAAUGCGAUAAGUAGUGUGAAUUGCAGAAUUCAGUGAAUCAUCGAAUCUUUGAACGCACAUUGCGCCCUUUGGUAUUCCAAAGGGCAUGCCUGUUCGAGCGUCAUUUGUACCCUCAAGCUUUGCUUGGUGUUGGGCGUCUUGUCUCUAGCUUUGCUGGAGACUCGCCUUAAAGUAAUUGGCAGCCGGCCUACUGGUUUCGGAGCGCAGCACAAGUCGCACUCUCUAUCAGCAAAGGUCUAGCAUCCAUUAAGCCUUUUUUUCAACUUUUGACCUCGGAUCAGGUAGGGAUACCCGCUGAACUUAAGCAUAUCAAUAAGCGGA